rnacentral:lncRNA from 1 species
CCCGGGGAGACCAGGACUCGCACAGGGCAGGAUGCUGAACGGGCUACAUUAAAAAACAAACCUCUCUCUCUAUAUAUUUAUAAAUGAGAACUGUUGGAUGACACCUUUGACAUAUCAGCCAAUAUCAAUCAAGCUGAAGACUCCAGACACUGUCUGUGUGACUGUAACAUUUCUUCAAGGAAAGUAUAGCGUCUAUGGAGUUCAGAGGGCACGUGUUUGGGGGAAAAUAUAUAUGACAUGAAGAAGAAGAUGAAGAAAAAUGAGAAAAAAACACACAAAAGGCAACUUUAAAACAAAAUAUCACGAGCAGACGGGGAGGCUGAAGGGCUGGGAGCUGGGAGGAGACGCUGCUUACCGAUCCCGGGGCUUUUCCAGCCCAUGGGCGCCUGACGCAGGCUGGGGCAAGUGGUGCGUGGGGCCUGGUCCCCAAGGGGCGGCUGAGAGGCCGCCACUGAGCAUCUCUAUCUGUCAUUCCUUUAGCUAUUUAGGGACCAAAGGACCAAACUUUUUAUUGCAGAUGUGUAGCUCUAUGUCAAAUAGAGGGGGAAUGGAGGACCCCCUCCCUUUCCUGCCUCAUGGAUUGUUCUUGAAACAGCUUAGAGCGAUUCUAUGAAAAAAUGUAAUAAAAAAUUAAAAAAAAAACAAAAAACAAAAAAACAACAAAAAAAAGGAAAAAUAACGCUUCAAUGCUUUUAAAACAGCAAGAUAAUAGUUCUUUGAUACUUUGAGAGGCGCUUUGAUGACCCUCAUCCAAGUCUAUGACACUUUCCUAUGGUUUUCUGUAUUCUAUGUCUGGAUGGAGCUGUUAGAAGAUGAACAAAUUGGUGGAUAUUUGGGGAAAGCAACACAAAUCUUAAAACUCACCCGUGAAGUGUGAGAAAACAAGGAGGGGAACAAAUGGGACUUACCAAGCAAGGUCAUUGUUGUGAAAAGUCUGUAAAUGCUUCUAACUCUUCCCCCUCUUAAAAUCAUAAUAGUUGUACAGAAUUUUAAAAAGGAAAAGUUUAAAAUACCUAUAUAAUAGAAGAAAAAUUAGAGGAAAGCAAAAAAUAAAAAAAAUAAAAAAGGAAAAAAAAAACCUAUAGAAGUUAGCAUUACUGCUAAAAUCCCAGAUGUUGUAGGACUGUACUUUUGUAGAGUUUAGACAGAGCAUCAAUCCCUUCUCCCCGCGAGUGCAGUCGGAUGCCGUUGUCCCCAAGGGCCAGGCCGAAUUCGCCCCACACCUGCGGGCGCCUGGCUGCCGACGCCGGUGGAGGCCACGCCGUCGGUCGGGAACGGUCGCGUCGCCCUGGUCGCAGCCGCCGCCGCCAUCAUCCUCGCCUCUCGCUUCCCUCUGGGAGCUGCGCGCGCUUCACUCACCUUCCGCUUCACUCGCCUUCCACGCUUGCUCCAGAGACUUUCCGGGCAAGGGAGAACUGGGAACUUUCAUCUUAAAACAACUAGACAACACACACACACACAAAACCUUAAAAAAGAGAGAGAAAAAUAAACAAUCUUUGAAGAAUUUCUGAAACUGUUUACAAGGAAUUUUGAAAAACAGGGAUGUUUAAAUGAUGCCGGCUCUGUUUUUCUGUAAAUAAAUUUGCAUAUUUUGUAGGACUUUUAAUUGUAAUGAUAGAGAAAAAAACAAGGAAAACUAUUUAAUGAAAGCACGAUAUUUAUCUUUGGUAAAUGACUUUAGAGCAGUUAAAGACAUUGCUUAAAAAACUCAGAAUCAGAAAAAACACUGAAUUAUUUAAGAACACAUAUAUUUUAAAGUAUAACAUAUUUAUUAUAAUUUAUUUGCACCCUUGGGAAGAUUGCUUUGGCAUUCUGCCUUGAUUCCUUCUCAUUGAUGUCCAGGUCAUCUGGAGGCCGGGGGUUCUCAGACCUACCAUUGUUUCCCUUUAGAAGAACAAAUUUCCAGUUCCUCUAGGGCCUCCUGCCUUUCCUUUCUUUCUGUCAAUUUUGUUGUUGUUGUUGUUUUUCAUUUUCUUUUUUUCUCUUGACUCCUCCUUUUAGGAUGUCCACAUGUAAAAAAAAAAGAAAAAAAAAAGAAAAAAAGAAAAAAAAAGAAAACAGCUGCAGUUCAGUACAACUGCUCUUUUCACACUCAACUCCCUAAAACUCCUUGUAACCUUCUGUAACUAUUGGAUGACGCUUUCUCCAGCUUAGCCCUAAAUAAAGCACAGUUUAAAAAAAGAUUUCUUCAUUGGUCUGUGCCUCUCGGACUCUGGCCAGCUGUGCCUCACAGCCCCAAGGCUUGCCCACUGGAAGUAGCUUUGGUCCUCUUUAUGGAAUCUGCGACACAGGCCCUCGUUCUGAGCCUCAGCAUGUGAGGCUCUUCUGGGAGGUGAUGG